CAGCAGCCGCGGGAAUACGGAGGGAGCUAGCGUUGUUCGGAAUUACUGGGCGUAAAGCGCACGUAGGCGGUUAUUCAAGUCAGAGGUGAAAGCCCGGGGCUCAACCCCGGAACUACCUUUGAAACUAGAUGACUAGAAUCUUGGAGAGGUCAGUGGAAUUCCGAGUGUAGAGGUGAAAUUCGUAGAUAUUCGGAAGAACACCAGUGGCGAAGGCGACUGACUGGACAAGUAUUGACGCUGAGGUGCGAAAGCGUGGGGAGCAAACAGGAUUAGAUACCCCAGUAGUCCCUGUCUCUUAUAU
rnacentral:rRNA from 1 species